rnacentral:rRNA from 1 species
CUCAAAGAUUACGCCAUGCAAUUGCAAGUAUGAACAACUCGUAUUUGUUAAACUGAGAACAGCUUAUUAAAAAAGUUAUAAUAAAUUUGAACGUGGAACCUUAAAACAGGUUCAUUAAAAUCUAUUUAAGUGGAAUAAUUGUGGGAAAGCUAGAAAUAAUACAUGCAAAAAGGGGUAACUAAAGUAAUUUGGGAACCUUGCAUUAUCUGGCAUUUAUCAUUAAAAAAGGAAGUACAACUUCUUAUAUGAUGAAACACAGAUCACUAAAUAGCAAAGUGUGAUUUAAAAACACUGCUUCAUUCAAAUUUCUUAUCUAUCAACUUUCGAUGAUUGUAUAGAGGACAAUCAUGGUUUUAACGGGUAACAGAGAAUAAGGGUUUUGUUCUGGAGAGGGAGCCUAGAGAAAUUGCUACCACUUUCAACGAAUGCAGCAGGCGCGAAAAUUACCCAAUAAAAACACUUUGAGGUAGUAACAAAAAAUAACGACAACGUAUACAUUUGAAUAACUUUAAAAAUUAUUUAAAUGUUGUUGAUUGUAAUGAGUACAAUUUAAAAAAAUUAAUUAGAAUCAAUUAGAGGGCAAGUCUGGUGCCAGCAGCCGCGGUAAUUCCAGCUCUAAUAGCGUAUAUUUAAGUUGUUGUAUUUAAAAAGCUCGUAGUUGAAACUUGAAAAACAAUUUAAAAAAUGAAAUAAACCUAUAAAUAGAAAAAUCUAUUUAUAAUUAUUUCAUGUUUUUCAUAUCAUGAACAAUAGUUUAAUUCAUAAUUUUAAUUGAAAGAUUAAAUCGUUAUGGGUGUUAUAAAGACCAUUGUUUCAUUUUACCAUAAGUAAUUUAGAGUGUUUAAAGCAAGACGUAAGUCUAUUGAAUAAUAGAGUAUGGGAUAAUAAAAGAUGAAAGAGAGGAGAUGUACUUCUCUGAAAGUAAAAGUUAAAUAAAAUUUUCAGGUCUUCUCACUUUAAUGAUUAAUAGGGACUAUUGGGGCAAUUAAUAUUUCAACAUCUCCGGUGAAAUGUUUACUGUGUAGAAAGAUUAACUAAUGCGAAAGCAUUUUGCAAAGGUGUUUUCAUUAAUCAAGAACGUUUGUUAAGGGAUUGAAGAUGAUCAGAUACCGUCGUAAUCUUAACUAUAAACAAUGUCGACAAAAUUUGGGAUUGAUUAUAUAAAUAUAUAGUCUUUCUUAAUAAAAAAGGUACUUAAAUGAAAGGAAAAAGAGUAAAUUUAUUUAUUCUAUUUUCUUUCUGUAACUGUCUCUUCCCGAAUUUCGUAAGAAAUUAAGAGUGAUCGGACUUUGGGGGGAGUAUGGUCAGGCUGAAACUUUUUGGAAUUGACGGAAGAGCACCACAAGGUUGUGGAACUUGCGGUUUAAUUUGACUCAACACGGGAAAACUCACCAGGUCAGGACAUAAUAAGGAUUGACAGAUUAAUAGAUCUUUCUCAAAAAAAAUUAUUGUUGUAGCAAUAUGAUAGUAAUAUAAAUUAAUUUUAUGAUAAGUGGAGCAUGGCCGAUCUUAGUUCGUGGAAUGAUUUGUCUGCUUAAUUGCGUUAACGAACGAGACCUGCAGAGAUAAAUAGUGAUAGAUGGAGGGUGUUAAAGCAAGUGGCCUGUCUUUAGGAGAAGGGCAUGUUCCCCUUUUUA